rnacentral:lncRNA from 1 species
CAUGAGUUUAAGCAGGUGCUUUCAGGACAGAGAUUCCCGUUUGGGGUGCUUCAGUGGCUGGCUGCUGACACUGGCAUGCCUGGGGUCUAAGCUUCAGUGUGUAAGAUCUUCCCUGUCCUUCAGACCCAUGAGAUCUCAGGACCCCCAGCACUGACUUUAUGUUUCUCCAAAGGCUGAAACUUGGCAUCCGAAGUCACAAGGGAGAAACUAGGAAGAAAGAAACCACCCCUGGCUAAGCUGCUUCUGGGUGAUAUGAAAGUGAAAUUGCUGGGAGCUUUGCAGGGAACAGUCAGCUCCAGGAAGGCUUUGGGGUACCCUUACCAAUGCUUCCUACACCCAACCCCCCACCGCUCCUUCAGCCGUGUUACUGCCACUGCUGCGAUGCCAGACGGCGAGCGGGAUCAGUAAAACCGAUGCAGGUUUGAGCUCGUGGCAGGAAAACGAGGGAAGCCCAACAGCACGACACGAAGGCUCAAGCAUUGGAUGGGCCAUAAAAAAACACUUCCAAAGUACACCUUUUGUAAAAUCUCAUUAUUUUCCGAGGGUUGAUUCAUGACGGUUGAAUCGCCAGGACCAGCAACAUUCGUAUAAUGCAGAAGAGCAAUAAACAUUACAGAAGUAAAAAAGCACAGCUCUUCUAUAUCACACGCCAGCUGCAGCGACACUACGCCUCAGCUGGAUUUAUUGUGGCGUCCUCCAGCAGAGCGAGUGGCGAAGUGCUGCCAUUACUUCUGAUUAUGAACGGAUCGGAUCUGGCUACCCAAAGGAAUUUACUCUGCAGUGUGCUGUUUCAAUGCAAUGACAUCACAGACACCGGCAGGGUUCCUACCCAGCAUGAGAUAGACACAGCUCCCAGCAUCAUCUGGCACCCAGCAAGUUCACCUCUGGAACUUCCUCAAGCUCUUUCUGGAAGUGACACAGAGCUGCUCAGUGCCCCGGCACUCAGGUUCAGUUUGGACAAGGAUUUUGGAUGUCCGCAUAGAAGAGCUGUUUGAACACAGGGGUUUAGUUUGGUGUUUUACUAAAUAAACUUUGCAUU